UACAGAGGGUGCGAGCGUUGUCCGGAAUCACUGGGCGUAAAGGGCGCGUAGGCGGCCGCCUAAGUCAGACGUGAAAUCCCUCGGCUCAACCGGGGAACUGCGUUUGAUACUGGGUGGCUUGAAUUCGGGAGAGGGAUGCGGAACUCCAGGUGUAGCGGUGAAAUGCGUAGAUAUCUGGAGGAACACCGGUGGCGAAGGCGGCGUCCUGGACCAACACUGACACUGAGGAGCGAAAGCCAGGGGAGCAAACGGG
rnacentral:rRNA from 1 species